rnacentral:rRNA from 1 species
UACGGAGGGCGCAAGCGUUGUUCGGAAUCACUGGGCGUAAAGCGCGUGUAGGCGGCCGGGCAAGUCGGAUGUGAAAUCCCGAGGCUCAACCUCGGAACUGUAUUCGAAACUGCUCGGCUCGAGUCCCGGAGAGGAUGGCGGAAUUCCCGGUGUAGGGGUGAAAUCCGUAGAUAUCGGGAGGAACACCAGUGGCGAAGGCGGCCAUCUGGACGGUGACUGACGCUGAGACGCGAAAGCGUGGGGAGCAAACAGG